UUUCAACAAUGUACGGAGCAAAAGAAACCAGACGCAACAGAGUACAUACUGUACGAUUCCAUUUACAUGAAAUUCCAGAAAAAGCAGAAGAAGCUAUGGUGACAGAAAGCAGAUCAGUGAUUGUCUGGGGCUUGGGGACACAGCGAGGUGGAUCCGGACUGACUGAACAGGGACACAAAGGAACUUUUGGGGAUGAUGGAAAUGUUCUAUAUCUUUACUGUUCGUGGUGGUUACGUGGGUAUCUACAUGUGUCAAAACUCAUUGAACUAUAUAUACUUAUAAUGGGUGCAUUUUCACGUAAAUUGCACUACUAUAAGUUGAUCUAAAAGUGAGUUUGUAAUAAUUUAAUGUUUCUAGUAAAUAGAAAUAUGGGUGAGAAUAUCCUAAAAAUGGAAUAUUUCAAGAGCCAGAUUUAACUAUAAAGUACUUUAACUCAAUUUUUCCUCAUUCUUUAAUGCUUUAAAUCUAAAAUAAUUUCACGUUUUCUAUUCAACACUUUUGAAUCAUUGUAUUUAGCCACUAUGAAUGACUGAAGAAUGAAUAAGUAGAUAUAAAAUGUUAGAAUUUAUUUGAAGAAUAAGCAUUACUCUUUUCUUCAUUCAUUCACCAAAUAUUUAUUGAUCAGUACUAAGAAGAGUAUUAGACACUAAAGAUUCAGAGGCAUAAGACCCAGUAGCUUAGAGUCCAGUAGAAAAAAAGAGAUAAGAAAAAGAAGCAGGGGAGAGGAAGAGGGAGAGAAUAACACUAAGACCCAGCUGAGGUCUGCAAACACUUAUCUAGAGACGUGUCAGGUGCUAUGGUCACAUGCAGUCAGGUACAGGUAUGUUAAAAUAUCUAAAGUAGGCCCAAGAAGGGGUCACUCAUGCUAAGCCCCAGUCAACAAACCAAAACUUAGCUAGUUUCUAAGCUGGGAUCUCCCAUAAAAGGAAGGCCUAGGUCCACCAAUCAGCACUUCCCUGCUCAACACAAGUAUCCAGACGAGCUCCAAAACAUCCCUUUGCUCCAUGAAGGGGGUAACCCUGCGUUGAUCAAUCAGCAAAUGCCCAGUAUAACUUCCUUGCCCCGAUCGCUUUGCUCUAUAAAAAUCUCUCACCUAGAGCAGCUCUUCAGAGCUCCUUUCUCUUAGCACUUCUGAACCUGGAUGCUGCCCAACUCAUGAUCUUUUCAAAAUAUAUGAUUGUUGGAUUUUUCCUUUAACAGUUGAGAAUGCACGUAACCAAUGGGAUCCAAGUGGUAAAGAAAUCAAGGGAAAGAAAUUAAGUAAGCCACGGGGAACUCUGUAAGGAGGAGGAAAAUAAGAGGGGGCUCUGGAUUAGAAGUUGUGAGGUUGAAAUGCUAGCUCCACAAGAGCAAAGUAAGAAAGCUGCCAGGACUGAACGCAGGAUUUCUGGGUUUAAGGUGGAGUCCUGGAGGACAGCAAGGUCUUGAGAGCACCCGUCAGUGACUGCAGAACAAUCCCGGGGAGGGAGUGAAAGAACCCUGAGACUGAAGUGAGGGGCUGUGGAGGUCAUCCUGGAAGGCGGGUGGGCAAGGAGGAGAAGAUAAUGAACCACACAGCUUGGCUUCUGUCAGUGGCAGUGGGCAGGGGAGUGCGUGCUUAGUACUGAGAAGUUGCCAGAUAAAUCUACGGAAAAAAGAGUUAAAAGGUCCUUGAAUAAGCUAAUAAUGCUGACGUGGCAUGAUAACAUUUGGAAAUCGACAUUGAUCAUGUUCACAGUAAUAGAUUUUUACACCGCUUUACAUAACAACAGUAGACGUUAGGCUGGAUCUUACAGCUUUAGAGAGAGACGGACCCGAGUUCAGAAAAUAAGCAAUCAAAUUCCUGGCAUUUGAAUUUUAAAAUAAGUGCUUGAAAUGCAAAGCAGAGGCUAAAGUCUUGAAAGGCUAAAGGCUUUCAAUCAAUUGGCAGAGCAGAGCGGAAAGCUCUUCUGAGCACCAGCCUCAAGGUUAAAUUUGUAACAUAAAAGAGCUGGCGCGAAAAAGGGGAAAAGCAUAGCCAGUUCUACAUUUGUUUUAUUCUGUUUGAAAACUCACUCAAACCCCAAAGGAAAUAUCUUGCAUUUGUUUUAUUUUGUUUGAAAACUCCUUUUGGGCUUGGAGGCAAGUGGGUUUUUUUGGUUUUUUGGGGUUUUUUCACAAGGACAGAUAAGAAACUAGAUUUAGCAGGGCCUCCAAAAAGGGGACUGUGUCUCAGCCUGCCUCCCAAGCCUGGUCAGUCCAUGGAGAGGUGGGGCCUCAAAGGGGAAAUGACUGAGAGCCCAGAUGAAUUUGGAGAAAUCCCAAGACCUUCAUCUGACUUUUAUGGGUCUGUAGCUCAGAAAGACCUCUAGCUUCUUGAAAAUUUCCAGGCUGAGGCUAGAGGGAUAAAAUACCAACAGCGAAGUGAGCUGUCUGGGCAGAUGAGCUGGAGGGCCACCUCCUAUGCCCUUCCCAGCGCUAGAGAACGCUCACAUGUGUAGAAGUGCUUAGACAUAUAGGGACAGGCCUCAGAACCCACCUCAGGAUGGGUCUGGAGGUCAGAAUAAGGAAGGCUCCAGAGGGACCAGAGGCCACGGAGACACGUGGGCACCUACGAUGAUGGAUCAGGGAUCAAGUCCCACAAGCAGAGGACUGACGAAGCUGCGUCUCAGCAACUGCCAAGGCACGGCUGAUGCCUGCAAACUGGAUACCCCACGCCCGGCCCUGAGUCUAGACACAGCCUCGGGAAAGGUCCAAAGGAGAAAUCCUAUAUUAGCUAUUUAAAAGCCAGAACUUUACUCAGAGGUUUCUGAAAUGACUGAGUAAUCAAUCAUUUUGACCGAGUCUGCCUAGAAGUAACUGGAUUAAGUUUUCUGCCAUCAGACAAAGUGAUAAAAAGAUUGGCUCUUAUUAUAAAAAAUCUUUUGCUCCCCACCUGAGAGUGUGGGCUGUGACUCUCUACCAGCCUCACUAAUGUUUCUUUGAGUGCUUGUUUAGGACACUCACACAGCGGUUCUGGCUGCCUGAGAUGCUCUUCCUUUCAUCCCACACAGCUGUCUCUUUCUCAUCCAAGUCUGAGUUUAAAUAUUACUCAGAGAGAUUUUUCCUGUCUAAUCUUAGCAUGUCUAACCGCCAGCUACUACACACACACACACACACACACACACACACGCACACACGCGCACAAAUGUACACACCAUUUGUUCUAUAUCAGGAUCCUAGAUUCAUUUCCCUUAUCUCCCUUUCCUCAAUUUAGUAUUUCAUAGUUAUUUCAUUACCUGGUUAGUGCUACACUGGUAUCACCAUAAGGGCAGAGCCUGUGCCUGUUUAAUUAUCACAAUGGUCACAGUGCCUAGCAUGGUUUUAGCUCUACAGCAGCCAUUUGAGAAACACAUGUUGAAUGACUAUACCAAGCUUUAUGCUAAAUUCUUUGCCUGAAUUUGUCUCAUUUAAUCCUGAGAUAGAUGCCGUUAUUGCUCUCGUUCUAAAGGCGCAGCAAAUGAGGCACAGAGAGGUUAAGUGGUUUUGCAAAGGUCACACAGCCAGUAAAUGGUAGAGCUAGAAUUUAAACUCAAGUAAGAAGGAUAAAAAAAGCUAAGUGUGACUGACUGCACAGCAUAGCGUUUUCUCUUUUCACAAACACAGAAGGUAAUGGCCUGGGCCUUGCCGUCCCUGUGGCACUAGGAGGACAAUGACCAGUGGACCCUCCCAAAGGCCAGUACACUGGAAUGUGGGCCAAAAUCCGUUUCUACUUCUUGGAUGGGGGGAUUUUUCAGUCCAAGGAUGUAGUUUGUUGAUGACAGUGUAGAGGUUCCCGAUGGCACCUGGGGUCUACGUGGGGACAGACUACACAGAUGAGGAUGAGACAGAGCUCCAUAGGAUUCAGGGAUAUUUGGGUACAGCUUAAAAAACAAACCAUUGGAUACUUUUUUUUGUUUUUAAUUGCCGAACUGCAGCAGCCCUCCAUACCCCAAUCCCAAAGCUCAGACCUUUCUUGAAUGAGGUAGCAGGUGGGCUGAGGCCUUAGACUCACAGUCCAUUCAGAACUUUAGGCAUCCCCUCCUUCCCAUACGAGUACUCUCCUGUGCUCUCACUCUCUCAACCGGAGGCAGCAUCUUCCAUCUACUCUAGAAGUCGGUGAGUGAUCCUUAACUUGCCUGACUUUACUUUCUAAAUAUUUCUUAGAUUUACCAGGUACCUUCCAUUCCUAUCACCCCUGCCCUAAUCAAACCCUCAUUCUCUCUCACGUGGACUACUGCCGUAGCAUCGUAACUGGUCUCCUGUUUUCACAUCCAUCUGCUUAUUUACAUUCACCGGCUUUCUAGGCUUCUCUUUCACAACCACUCACCUCCAUUUUCACAAUAGGAAAGCAGUCAGUGUGUCCAUAAAUGGGUGUGGCUGUGUCACUAGAACUUUAUAAAAACAGGUAGUAGGACAGAUUAACCCGAUUUACCACACACUUACCAGAAUUAUCUAUAGAGAAUGCAACACCAACCACAUACUAUGUCACUCCUCUCCAAAGGGAAAAAUAAAACUUUUGAUAACGCACGCUGGAAGCCCAAGAUCCAUACUUCUGAAGGUGGCCUGCAGGUGGCAUCUGGCCUCGGCCUGCUGUCUGUCUUUUUAUCUCACUACUCCCUGCCGUGCCGUCCCACUCCUGCGACACAGAACUGUGUCUGGUUCCCCGCACAUAGCUCUUGUUCCCUGACGUUCCUAGUCUGACAUCUUUAUCCAUGUGCUUCCUCCUGCCCAGAAUGACCUACUCACCUUUCCUCUUCACUUGGCUAAUUCCUACUUAUUCCUACAGAGAAGACGCAGGCCUCCUUCUGGAAGCAUUCCGCUGUCCACAAAGGAUUUGCUGCCGUCCCCUGCUUCCCAAGAAUCCCUGUUCAUCUCUAUCAUUGUUAGUACAGUCCUGGGUUAUCAUUAUCUGCUUGUCUCCCCCAUGAACUAUGAGUUCCUCAACAGAAGUUUUCCUGUGUCUUAUCCGCCUUUCAAUCCAAUGCCCAGCGUUUUCUUAGCACAUAGUAGAAACCAUACACACUUUAAGAUAUUUAUUAAACGCAUGCAUGUUUGAAUGAAUGCAAUGAACUAGUCUGAUUUUAAAAAGAGACUGUAUAAAUGGAACAGAGCUUGAACACUAUCAUUGUGCCACACACAUCUUUUGUUUUAUAUAUACAUGUACACACACACAUAUAUAUAAUACCUCGGGUCUGAAUCCCAUCUCCAUGACAAGAUUAUCAGUUCCAGAAAGUGUGUAUGGGCUUCUUUCAUGCCCCUCAGAGGCUGUGGUUCUGGGCCCACUCUGGGCAUCAUGGAAACACUUUUUCACUUUUAAAUUAAUAUAAUUUAUUCCAAAGAUCAGGUUUUAAUAUGAGCAUUUACAUGCCACGCCAAACAGGAAAUUACUGUUACUUUCUAAAAUACUUUUUCGAAAUAAAUUUAUAUCUCAUCCACUUUCUGUGUGAGAUUUUGUGCUUA